CAGAGUCCUAUAUAACAGGGCUAUUUAUGAAACAAAGUGAAAGAAAAACUUCGUUACACUGUUCAAACGUACACAGUUGUCCUGAAGCGCUUCAAUAUUCUUUUGUACAUAAGUAACACAUUAAUUUAUUUCAGGAGACAUCACAUGUCUAAAGCAACUGGUAUCGUUAAGUGGUUCAACGAUGAGAAAGGUUUCGGUUUCAUCACUCAAGAUAAUGGCGGCGCUGACGUAUUCGUUCACUUCCGUGCUAUCGCUGGUGAAGGCUUCAAAUCUCUAGCAGAAGGUCAAAAGGUUUCUUUUGACGUUGAGCAAGGCCAAAAAGGUCCUCAAGCUGCUAACGUUGAGCGCAUCUAAUCUACAACGAACAGUUGAAGAAGUAAGGGUAUCUUAGGAUGCCCUUUUUUAU
rnacentral:sRNA from 1 species